rnacentral:rRNA from 1 species
AGUGGCGAACGGGUGAGUAAUACAUCGGAACGUGUCCUGUAGUGGGGGAUAGCCCGGCGAAAGCCGGAUUAAUACCGCAUACGACCUAAGGGAGAAAGCGGGGGAUCUUCGGACCUCGCGCUAGAGGGGCGGCCGAUGGCAGAUUAGCUAGUUGGUGGGGUAAAGGCCUACCAAGGCGACGAUCUGUAGCUGGUCUGAGAGGACGACCAGCCACACUGGGACUGAGACACGGCCCAGACUCCUACGGGAGGCAGCAGUGGGGAAUUUUGGACAAUGGGGGCAACCCUGAUCCAGCAAUGCCGCGUGUGUGAAGAAGGCCUUCGGGUUGUAAAGCACUUUUGUCCGGGAAGAAAAGCUUGGGGCUAAUAUCCCUGAGCGAUGACGGUACCGGAAGAAUAAGCACCGGCUAACUACGUGCCAGCAGCCGCGGUAAUACGUAGGGUGCGAGCGUUAAUCGGAAUUACUGGGCGUAAAGCGUGCGCAGGCGGUUUGUUAAGACCGAUGUGAAAUCCCCGGGCUCAACCUGGGAACUGCAUUGGUGACUGGCAGGCUUUGAGUAUGGCA